GACGAACGCUGGCGGCGUGCCUAAUACAUGCAAGUAGAACGCUGAAGGAGGAGCUUGCUUCUCUGGAUGAGUUGCGAACGGGUGAGUAACGCGUAGGUAACCUGCCUGGUAGCGGGGGAUAACUAUUGGAAACGAUAGCUAAUACCGCAUAAUAGUAGAUGUCGCAUGACAUUUGCUUAAAAGGUGCAAUUGCAUCACUACCAGAUGGACCUGCGUUGUAUUAGCUAGUUGGUGAGGUAACGGCUCACCAAGGCAACGAUACAUAGCCGACCUGAGAAGGUGAUCGGCCACACUGGGACUGAGACACGGCCCAGACUCCUACGGGAGGCAGCAGUAGGGAAUCUUCGGCAAUGGACGGAAGUCUGACCGAGCAACGCCGCGUGAGUGAAGAAGGUUUUCGGGUCGUAAAGCUCUGUUGUAAGAGAAGAACGAGUGUGAGAGUGGAAAGUUCACACUGUGACGGUAUCUUACCAGAAAGGGACGGCUAACUACGUG
rnacentral:rRNA from 1 species